GUUGAUGGUCGCAACAUGGUAGCGGGGAGCCGGUUAUUACCGCCUUAUAUUGAGGGUUCGACUCCCUCCGCCAACUCCA
rnacentral:tRNA from 1 species